rnacentral:rRNA from 1 species
GUGCCAGCAGCCGCGGUAAUACGUAGGUGGCAAGCGUUAUCCGGAAUUAUUGGGCGUAAAGCGCGCGUAGGCGGUUUUUUAAGUCUGAUGUGAAAGCCCACGGCUCAACCGUGGAGGGUCAUUGGAAACUGGAAAACUUGAGUGCAGAAGAGGAAAGUGGAAUUCCAUGUGUAGCGGUGAAAUGCGCAGAGAUAUGGAGGAACGCCAGUGGCGAAGGCGACUUUCUGGUCUGUAACUGACGCUGAUGUGCGAAAGCGUGGGGAUCAAACAGGAUUAGAU